AGGUUUUUCAGUGUGCUGUUCAGCGGUUUGAUAUACAAGCUGUUGUUUUGCAGUUGCACCUCGCCUUUGGCGGUGGUCAUUUCGCCAUCCAGAGGGAUAUCCAGAUUCAGACGGGCGUUAACAUCGCCAUCCAGUUGCAGCUCAUUCAGCGUCGCGGCGAGAGAAUCUUCCAGCGGCGUCUCUUUAAAGUACGGCCCGACCGCUUUCCCCGGCCCGUGAAUAUCGGCAUCAAUCAGCAGUUUUUCCCUGGAGUAGUCCGGGAUCGCCGCAUUGAGAUUGUUUGCCGUUACGCCACCCAGCUUCACGCCGUCGGCCUUCAUCCACAGCCCGUCAUUGAGGAAGUUGAGAUCGAUAUCCAGAUUCGUCAGCGCCGGCCAGUCUGGCUGGAACGCGAAGGUCGCAUCACGUAACGGCACC
rnacentral:ncRNA from 1 species